UACGUAGGGGGCAAGCGUUGUCCGGAGUUACUGGGCGUAAAGCGUGCGCAGGCGGCUUUGCAAGACAGAUGUGAAAUCCCCGGGCUCAACCUGGGAACUGCAUUUGUGACUGCAUGGCUGGAGUGCGGCAGAGGGGGAUGGAAUUCCGCGUGUAGCAGUGAAAUGCGUAGAUAUGCGGAGGAACACCGAUGGCGAAGGCAAUCCCCUGGGCCUGCACUGACGCUCAUGCACGAAAGCGUGGGGAGCAAACAGG
rnacentral:rRNA from 1 species